rnacentral:misc_RNA from 1 species
UAAUAAUCCGCCGUUUUACAUGUUCCUCGUUGGCCCGAUAUUUUCCUCCGUGGCCUUCUUUCUUCCGCACGGUUUAAUUAAAUUCCCGGCAAUUUGUGAACGCUUCCACGACCGAGACGCGCUCUUUUAGCCCUGAUUUUCUACCAAUAAAUCGACAUCGGGGUCGACGUCGAGUCGAACAUCACCAGCUAUUUUCACGCCCGGUUCCACACCCUCGCAUCCCAUGGACAUACGUCAACAAUAACGUUUUUCUUUCCGUUUCAACAACUACGCUCGUUGUGUUGACUUUACCCCUACCGAUGCCUGCCACCACUUUCCUACCCUCUUUUAUCCCGCUUGUGUCAUUCCCACCGGUGUACAUCGAUACCUUGCGCCCUCUUUGGCUCGCUGUGUGCCCUUCUCUCGAAGAACGAAGGAAGAGAAGAGCAUCUCACACAGGGUAUAUCGAUCGCAAGUGUUCGGAUUCGAUGAAAGAGAGGCCCAGGGCAAAUUGGUGCCGAGAUUAUAUCAACGCGGGUCGCGGCAGCAACCGUUUAAUUCGGCGCCUCAUUUGGACUCGAGCUGCCGGGGAAAAUUCGGUUCAAAGACCGCACGAAGCUGGCAGCGAGCAAUGAAUCUUUCAACGGUGGCUCCGUUCUAUCCUCUGCGUUUUAUUACAGCCCUGUCUGUCGGUCUUGUGCCGCUCCAAAGUGCCAAUUACGCAACCGAGGGCUCGAGAGGGCCCUUUCCGUGCUCGCGACCCGGCAAGAAGUUCGGCUUUUGGUCUGGGAUUCUUUUAAUCCUGGAAACAGGAUCUCCUGCAACUGAUUGGAAGAGCGAAGGAGCCAAAGGUUAAACGGAGAUUCGAGUCGGCGCAAUCGAAAGAAUAGAUCGAGGGUGUACCAUUCGCUUAUCGAGAUUUAGGAGAAAACGAUAGAUAUUGGUCGAUAAUUUUUCCAAACGAUAAGUCUCGUUGAUCUGUUAAAGGAACGUCGUAAAGUCAGAU